AGCAGCCGCGGUAAUUCCAGCUCCAAUAGCGUAUAUUAAAGUUGUUGCAGUUAAAAAGCUCGUAGUUGAAUUUUGGGUCUGGCCGGGCGGUCCAUCCUCUGGAUGAGUACUGUUCCGACGUCGGGCCUAUCCUUCUGGUGAGUCGGCAUGCCCUUUAUUGGGUGCGUCGGGGAACCAGGACCAUUACCUUGAAAAAUUAGAGUGUUCAAAGCAGGCUUUUGCUCGAAUACAUUAGCAUGGAAUAAUGAAAUAGGACGCGUGGUGCUAUUUUGUUGGUUUCUAGAACCGCCGUAAUGAUUAAUAGGGAUAGUUGGGGGCAUUAGUAUUCAAUUGUCAGAGGUGAAAUUCUUGGAUUUAUUGAAGGCUAACUUCUGCGAAAGCAUUUGCCAAGGAUGUUUUCAUUAAUCAAGAACGAAAGUUAGGGGAUCGAAGACGAUCAGAUACCGUCGUAGUCUUAACCAUAAACUAUGCCGACUAGGAAUCGGGCGAUGUUAUUCUCACGACUCGCCCGGCGCCUUAG
rnacentral:rRNA from 1 species